CAGGAUGUGCUUGCACAUCGCUGACGAGUGGCGGACGGGUGAGUAAUGCUUGGGAACUUGCCUUUGCGAGGGGGAUAACAGUUGGAAACGACUGCUAAUACCGCAUAAUGUCUACGGACCAAACGGGGCUUUUAGCUCCGGCGCAAAGAGAGGCCCAAGUGAGAUUAGCUAGUUGGUAAGGUAACGGCUUACCAAGGCGACGAUCUCUAGCUGUUCUGAGAGGAAGAUCAGCCACACUGGGACUGAGACACGGCCCAGACUCCUACGGGAGGCAGCAGUGGGGAAUAUUGCACAAUGGGGGAAACCCUGAUGCAGCCAUGCCGCGUGUGUGAAGAAGGCCUUCGGGUUGUAAAGCACUUUCAGUUGUGAGGAAAAGUUAGUAGUUAAUACCUGCUAGCCGUGACGUUAACAACAGAAGAAGCACCGGCUAACUCCGUGCCAGCAGCCGCGGUAAUACGGAGGGUGCGAGCGUUAAUCGGAAUUACUGGGCGUAAAGCGCACGCAGGCGGUUUGUUAAGCUAGAUGUGAAAGCCCCGGGCUCAACCUGGGAUGGUCAUUUAGAACUGGCAGACUAGAGUCUUGGAGAGGGGAGUGGAAUUCCAGGUGUAGCGGUGAAAUGCGUAGAUAUCUGGAGGAACAUCAGUGGCGAAGGCGACUCCCUGGCCAAAGACUGACGCUCAUGUGCGAAAGUGUGGGUAGCGAACAGGAUUAGAUACCCUGGUAGUCCACACCGU
rnacentral:rRNA from 1 species